GACGAACGCUGGCGGUGUGCCUCACACAUGCAAGUCGAACGGGGUAGCAAUACCUAGUGGCGGACGGGUGAGUAACGCGUGGGAAUCUGCCUUUAGAUGGGGGAUAACUGACCGAAAGGUUAGCUAAUACCGCAUAUGCCGAAAGGUGAAAGGAGCAAUCCGUCUGAAGAUGAGCCCGCGUCCGAUUAGCUAGUUGGUAGGUAAAGGCCUACCAAGGCUACGAUCGGUAGCUGGCUUGAGAGGAUGAUCAGCCACAAUGGGACUGAGACACGGCCCAUACUCCUACGGGAGGCAGCAGUGGGGAAUUUUGNGCAAUGGGGGAAACCCUGACACAGCGACCACCGCGUGAGCGAGGAAGCCCUUUGGGUGUAAAGCUCUGUCAGCAGGAACGAAUCAAUGACGGUACCUGCAGAG
rnacentral:rRNA from 1 species